rnacentral:rRNA from 1 species
GACGAACGCUGGCGGCGUGCUUAACACAUGCAAGUCGAGCGGAAAGGCCCUUCGGGGUACUCGAGCGGCGAACGGGUGAGUAACACGUGAGUAACCUGCCCCAGACUUUGGGAUAACCCUCGGAAACGGGGGCUAAUACCGGAUACGACACAGCUUCGCAUGGGGUCUGUGUGGAAAGUUUUUCGGUUUGGGAUGGGCUCGCGGCCUAUCAGCUUGUUGGUGGGGUGUUGGCCUACCAAGGCGACGACGGGUAGCCGGCCUGAGAGGGCGACCGGCCACACUGGGACUGAGACACGGCCCAGACUCCUACGGGAGGCAGCAGUGGGGAAUAUUGCACAAUGGGCGGAAGCCUGAUGCAGCGACGCCGCGUGAGGGAUGACGGCCUUCGGGUUGUAAACCUCUUUCAGCAGGGACGAAGCGUAAGUGACGGUACCUGCAGAAGAAGCGCCGGCCAACUACGUG